rnacentral:lncRNA from 1 species
CUUCUUGUUGCAUUCAAGCUUCAGUAGACCAAAGCAAUUGAACUAAUAGAGGUGGGUUCGAACAAGGAGAAAGACUGAUUAUAUGAAUUGGGUCUCUUAGUAUCGCAAUUGAUUGUACUCUAGCUAUCUAAAAUCAAUUAUCAAACUACAAAACAUCGAGGCUUACUACUUUCGUCUUAAUUCAAUCCAUAAUCCAUUCUAUGAUUAUCAAUUCAACAAUACUUCUCUCAAUCAAAAUUCUUCAUAAGCAAAUAAUAAAAAACAUAAAGAAGUAGCACCAAGCUUACCACGGCUUACAACUCUUACAAUCUG